rnacentral:rRNA from 1 species
GAUGAACGCUGGCGGCGUGCCUAAUACAUGCAAGUCGAGCGAACAGACGCGGAGCUUACUCCUUUGACGUUAGCGGCGGACGGGUGAGUCACGCGUGUAUCACCUACUUGUAAGUCGGGUAUCUCUUGGGGAAACCGGCGCUAAUACCGUAUAACAUGUUGAACCGUAUGGUUCAACAGUGAAUGACGGCCUUUCGGUCUGUUAUCGCUGGUUACGCGCCGCAUUAGAUAGUUGGUAAGGUAACGGCUUACUAAGGGUACGAUGCGUAGCCGAGCUGAGAGAGUGGUAGGCCACACUGGAGCUGAGACACGGUCCAGGCUCCUACGAGAGGCAGCAGAAGCGAAUCUGACGCAAUGGGCGAAAACAUGACGGAGCAGCGCCGCGUGAGUGAAAAAGGUCCUCGGAUCGGAAAACUCUCUUAUUAGGUAAGAACAGAUGUGGCAGGAGCCGUGCAGGUCUUGACGGUACCGGGUCAGAAAGCAACGGCUAACUACGUG